AUGGAUUUAGGGCUGAUAUUGGUUUCCUUUGUUCUUAUUUUAAAAGGUGGACAAUGUGAGAUGCAAUUGCUGGAGUCUGGGGGAGGCUUAGUGCAGCCUGGAAAGUCCCUGAAACUCUCCUGUGCAGCCUCUGGAUUCACCUUCAGUAGCUACUGGAUGAUUUGGGUUCGCCAUGCUCCAGGCAAGGCGCUGGAGUGGAUCACACACAUUAAUCCAGAUGGUGGUAGCACCUGGUAUAUGGACGCUGUGAAGGGCCGGUUCACGUUCUCCAGAGACAAUGCCAAGAACACUCUGUACCUGGAAAUGAACAGUUUGAGAUCUGAGGACACAGCCAUGUAUUACUGUGCAAGAGACACAAUCAUUUAUACCUUGGACAGAGUAAUUCUUUCUGAAGCGUAUGACUUCUAUAGCAGUAUCAAUGACUGGGUUCAGCCAUCUCAGACCCCGUCCAUCACCUGCACUGUUCCUAGAUUCCCAUUAACCAGCUAUCAUGUACACCGUGUUUACCAGCUUCCAGGAAAGGACCUGGAGUGCAUGGGAGCAAUAUGGAGCAGGUCUAGAAAUCCAGACAAUAACAAGGAAAUAUUCCAGAGUUUCCAUCGCCAGUCCUCUAAGAAGCACAAAGGUGUCCAGUGUGAGGUGCCCCUGUUGUAG